GGACCUGCGGGCCGUGAGGGGCGGGCACGGAACCCCGGGGCGGCCCCGGCGAUCCCCGGCUGGGCCGGGCCUGCCGCCCGGCUGUUGGGCCGCUGCGUCCUGCGCCAGUGUGGAAGCCUUGCUCUGGUUCCUCGGAGGUCCCUCUUUUCUUCAAGUGAACGACAGAGCAAUUCCCAAGUCAAAUAAUGAAGCCUCCCAAGUUCCCUACAAAGAAACUUGAAGGCAAACUGACCUCACCAAGAACAGUGAAUAAAUCCCAGGGUGAUGAGGACCAGGUCAGCUCUCCUUAGCAGCCAUACAGUAGGACCAGGGAGAAGCCAUCUCUUUCAAGGUCUGACUGUCCAACAGCAGCUGGACUAAAGAGAGAACAGAUACCAAGGAUGUAAUUAAAGCUCACUGCACUGAGCAGAAACUGCUGCCUCCAGUAGGAUUUUGUCUCACGCUAGAAGCACUCCCAUAUUUCAUAGCAAAGACAAGUGCAGACUUUCAGAGGAAAUUUUUUCUAUUGUUCUACUUUAAUCAAUCAGUGCCAAUUAACCAACAUUUAGUUUCAGCUUGAGGAAGGAAUGACAGAAAUAAUUAUGUCCUGAGACAAACAUCCCAUCAACUUCUCCAAGUCAUUAAAUGCCUCAGAUGAAUUGGCAAUCAAUUAACUGAGAUUAAAAAGUCUAACACACAAACCAUCUUCAUUCCCCUCUCUAGAGCCAGGAUGACACAAAGCUACUACCCAACCUCUGCACAUGUUCAUAUAAAUGCAACCUUACUCUGUCCAUAAAACAGUUUUGCUGGUUCAUCUCAGGACAGGGUUUCUCUGACACUGAAAUUCAGUGUGGAUUUGCUCUUAGCUGACCCUGAGCAGGGAAUGGAAUAACCACUCCUGACACAUCUGUUUAUAAGGCAUCAGCUAAACAACUGUUACCACAGAAUAAUUCAAUCAAGAGCCUUGUGCUAUAGAUACAUGUUGCCCAUUGUAAAAGAAAUUUGUGGGCUUUAAGACAGAUUAUUGUAGAUAGACUGAAGAUGUAAAAAAAUAGAAAUACUAGUGUGAAAUAGGCUACGGUCAUAGUAGUUUCAGUGUAGCUCUGCCUUCCUCAUUUGAGUUAUUAUAAAUAUUUGUUUAGUAUAGGGAGCACAGCAUCUUGAAUUCCCUGGAUUGUGCCAGUAUGAUCCCAUUGCUAUAAACACUGAAGAUGAAUCAGAUUAAUCCUUCAAACCAUCUGCUUUCAUUUAUCAAAACAAGGCUAAGAAACCUGGUCACAAUUUAUAAACAUUUCUUGGGAAGGGUCUUUUCUUGGCACAAGCAGAAGUGAGGUGGUAACACUGAAGGGGAAGCUGAGUUCAUCCAGCAAUGUCCAGCUCAUAACACCUGGUGUGAGCAGUAGCAGUCAUGGAGACUAUUAAUGGUGAGACAGGACCAUUAUUUUUAUGAUAAAUAAAUGGAAUAAACCUAAAGUGACAUAAUCUACUUAGUAGUGACAAGCAGUCAGAUUUAUAUCCAAUCAUCACAGCUGCUUUUCAAUAGUUUCAAUUUAUUUGAAAUGGCUAGCAGUUUGAUUUUAUCAUUAUACCUGCCUCUUGUGCUUGUUUUCUUCAAAAGCAUAAAA